rnacentral:rRNA from 1 species
GACAGAGGGUGCAAACGUUGUUCGGAAUUACUGGGCGUAAAGCGUGUGUAGGCGGUUUGGUAAGUCGGAUGUGAAAGCCCUGGGCUCAACCCAGGAAGUGCACUCGAAACUGCCAAGCUAGAGUAUCGGAGAGGUUGGUGGAAUCCUCGGUGUAGAGGUGAAAUUCGUAGAUAUCGAGAGGAACACCGGUGGCGAAGGCGGCCAACUGGACGAAUACUGACGCUGAGACACGAAAGCGUGGGGAGCAAACAGG